rnacentral:rRNA from 1 species
GAUCCUGGCUCAGGAUGAACGCUGGCGGCGUGCCUAAUACAUGCAAGUAGAACGCUGAAGGAAGGAGCUUGCUCUUUCCGGAUGAGUUGCGAACGGGUGAGUAACGCGUAGGUAACCUGCCUGGUAGCGGGGGAUAACUAUUGGAAACGAUAGCUAAUACCGCAUAACAAUAGAUGUUGCAUAACAACUAUCUGAAAGGGGCAAUUGCUCCACUACCAGAUGGACCUGCGUUGUAUUAG